GCGCACCAGUCGAGAAAACUUCACACUGUGCGAAAGCACGAUGAGGGAAUCCCAAGUGCUUGCACGUAAGUGUAAGCUGUUUCUCUGUUUAAAACGCAGAGAGAGUAAGGGCUGGGUAAGACGGGUGCCAGCCGCCGCGGUAAUACCUGCAGCUCAAGUGGUGACCGCUAUUAUUGGGGCCUAAAACGUCCGUAGCCGGUUUAAUAAAUGCCUGGGUAAAUCGUGUAGCUUAACUAUACGAAUUCCGGGUAGACUGUUAAACUCGAGACCGGGAGAAGUUAGAGGUACUCCUGGGGUAGAGGUGAAAUUCUGUAAUCCUAGGGGGACCACCAGUGGCGAAGGCGUCUAACUAGAACGGGUCUGACGGUGAGGGACGAAGCCCUGGGGCGCAAACGGGAUUAGAUACCCGUGUAGU
rnacentral:rRNA from 1 species